GCUUACGACCACACCGGUCUGAGUACGCCUGAUCUCGUCUGAUCUCGGAAGCUAAGCAGGGUCGUGCCUGGUUAGUACUUGGAUGGGAGACCGCCUGGGAAUACCAGGUGCUGUAAGCU
rnacentral:rRNA from 1 species